GAUUAGCCCUUAAGCACUCGGUGAAGUAGGUGAACAAGCUGGAAAGCUUGGCGAUACAGGGUGAUAGCCCCGUAACCGACGCUUCAUCGAGCGUGAAAUCGAGUAGGGCGGGACACGUGAUAUCCUGUCUGAAUAUGGGGGGACCAUCCUCCAAGGCUAAAUACUCCUGACUGACCGAUAGUGAACCAGUACCGUGAGGGAAAGGCGAAAAGAACCCCUGUGAGGGGAGUGAAAUAGAACCUGAAACCGUGUACGUACAAGCAGUAGGAGCACCUUCGUGGUGUGACUGCGUACCUUUUGUAUAAUGGGUCAGCGACUUAUAUUCAGUGGCAAGGUUAACCGUAUAGGGGAGCCGUAGCGAAAGCGAGUCUUAACUGGGCGCUCAGUCUCUGGAUAUAGACCCGAAACCGGGUGAUCUAGCCAUGGGCAGGUUGAAGGUUGAGUAACAUCAACUGGAGGACCGAACCGACUAAUGUUGAAAAAUUAGCGGAUGACUUGUGGCUAGGGGUGAAAGGCCAAUCAAACUCGGAGAUAGCUGGUUCUCCCCGAAAGCUAUUUAGGUAGCGCCUCGGACGAAUACUACUGGGGGUAGAGCACUGUUAAGGCUAGGGGGUCAUCCCGACUUACCAACCCUUUGCAAACUCCGAAUACCAGUAAGUACUAUCCGGGAGACACACGGCGGGUGCUAACGUCCGUCGUGGAGAGGGAAACAACCCAGACCGCCAGCUAAGGUCCCAAAGUAUUGCUAAGUGGGAAACGAUGUGGGAAGGCUCAGACAGCUAGGAUGUUGGCUUAGAAGCAGCCAUCAUUUAAAGAAAGCGUAAUAGCUCACUAGUCGAGUCGGCCUGCGCGGAAGAUGUAACGGGGCUAAGCAAUACACCGAAGCUGCGGCAAUAUCUUUUAGAUAUUGGGUAGGGGAGCGUUCUGUAAGCCGUUGAAGGUGAAUCGUAAGGUUUGCUGGAGGUAUCAGAAGUGCGAAUGCUGACAUGAGUAACGACAAAGGGGGUGAAAAACCUCCUCGCCGGAAGACCAAGGGUUCCUGUCCAACGUUAAUCGGGGCAGGGUGAGUCGACCCCUAAGGUGAGGCCGAAAGGCGUAAUCGAUGGGAAACGGGUUAAUAUUCCCGUACUUCUGACUAUUGCGAUGGGGGGACGGAGAAGGCUAGGUGGGCCAGGCGACGGUUGUCCUGGUUCAAGUGCGUAGGCUUGAGAGUUAGGUAAAUCCGGCUCUCUCUAAGGCUGAGACACGACGUCGAGCUGCUACGGCAGUGAAGUCAUUGAUGCCAUGCUUCCAGGAAAAGCCUCUAAGCUUCAGAUAGUCAGGAAUCGUACCCCAAACCGACACAGGUGGUCGGGUAGAGAAUACCAAGGCGCUUGAGAGAACUCGGGUGAAGGAACUAGGCAAAAUGGUACCGUAACUUCGGGAGAAGGUACGCUCUUGAUGGUGAAGUCCCUCGCGGAUGGAGCUGACGAGAGUCGCAGAUACCAGGUGGCUGCAACUGUUUAUUAAAAACACAGCACUGUGCAAAAUCGCAAGAUGACGUAUACGGUGUGACGCCUGCCCGGUGCCGGAAGGUUAAUUGAUGGGGUUAGCGCAAGCGAAGCUCUUGAUCGAAGCCCCGGUAAACGGCGGCCGUAACUAUAACGGUCCUAAGGUAGCGAAAUUCCUUGUCGGGUAAGUUCCGACCUGCACGAAUGGCGUAAUGAUGGCCACGCUGUCUCCACCCGAGACUCAGUGAAAUUGAAAUCGCUGUGAAGAUGCAGUGUACCCGCGGCUAGACGGAAAGACCCCGUGAACCUUUACUACAGCUUGGCACUGAACAUUGAACCUACAUGUGUAGGAUAGGUGGGAGGCUAUGAAGACGUGACGCCAGUUGCGUUGGAGCCGUCCUUGAAAUACCACCCUUGUAUGU
rnacentral:rRNA from 1 species